GCAGCAGUGGGGAAUAUUGCACAAUGGGGGAAACCCUGAUGCAGCCAUGCCGCGUGUGUGAAGAAGGCCUUCGGGUUGUAAAGCACUUUCAGUAGGGAGGAAGGUAGUGUAGUUAACACCUGCAUUAUUUGACGUUACCUACAGAAGAAGCACCGGCUAACUCCGUGCCAGCAGCCGCGGUAAUACGGAGGGUGCGAGCGUUAAUCGGAAUUACUGGGCGUAAAGCGCAUGCAGGCGGCCUGUUAAGUCAGAUGUGAAAGCCCGGGGCUUAACCUCGGAAUUGCAUUUGAAACUGGCAGGCUAGAGUCUUGUAGAGGGGGGUAGAAUUUCAGGUGUAGCGGUGAAAUGCGUAGAGAUCUGAAGGAAUACCAGUGGCGAAGGCGGCCCCCUGGACAAAGACUGACGCUCAGAUGCGAAAGCGUGGGGAGCAAACAGGAUUAGAUACCCUGGUAGUCCACGCCGUAAACGAUGUCUACUUGGAGGUUGUGGCCUUGAGCCGUGGCUUUCGGAGCUAACGCGUUAAGUAGACCGCCUGGGGAGUACGGUCGCAAGAUUAAAACUCAAUG
rnacentral:rRNA from 1 species